UACAGAGGUCUCAAGCGUUGUUCGGAUUCAUUGGGCGUAAAGGGUGCGUAGGCGGCGCGGUAAGUCGGGUGUGAAAUCUCGGAGCUUAACUCCGAAACUGCAUUCGAUACUGCCGUGCUUGAGGACUGGAGAGGAGACUGGAAUUUACGGUGUAGCAGUGAAAUGCGUAGAGAAUCGUAAGGAAGACCAGUGGCGAAGGCGGGUCUCUGGACAGUUCCUGACACUGAGGCACGAAGGCCAGGGGAGCAAACAGG
rnacentral:rRNA from 1 species